rnacentral:rRNA from 1 species
GUGCAAUGGCGCGUGCUAUACAUGCAAGUCGAGCGGACAGAAGGGAGCUUGCUCCCGGAUGUUAGCGGCGGACGGGUGAGUAACACGUGGGUAACCUGCCUGUAAGACUGGGAUAACUCCGGGAAACCGGAGCUAAUACCGGAUAGUUCCUUGAACCGCAUGGUUCAAGGAUGAAAGACGGUUUCGGCUGUCACUUACAGAUGGACCCGCGGCGCAUUAGCUAGUUGGUGAGGUAACGGCUCACCAAGGCGACGAUGCGUAGCCGACCUGAGAGGGUGAUCGGCCACACUGGGACUGAGACACGGCCCAGACUCCUACGGGAGGCAGCAGUAGGGAAUCUUCCGCAAUGGACGAAAGUCUGACGGAGCAACGCCGCGUGAGUGAUGAAGGUUUUCGGAUCGUAAAGCUCUGUUGUUAGGGAAGAACAAGUGCAAGAGUAACUGCUUGCACCUUGACGGUACCUAACCAGAAAGCCACGGCUAACUACGUGCCAGCAGCCGCGGUAAUACGUAGGUGGCAAGCGUUGUCCGGAAUUAUUGGGCGUAAAGGGCUCGCAGGCGGUUUCUUAAGUCUGAUGUGAAAGCCCCCGGCUCAACCGGGGAGGGUCAUUGGAAACUGGGAAACUUGAGUGCAGAAGAGGAGAGUGGAAUUCCACGUGUAGCGGUGAAAUGCGUAGAGAUGUGGAGGAACACCAGUGGCGAAGGCGACUCUCUGGUCUGUAACUGACGCUGAGGAGCGAAAGCGUGGGGAGCGAACAGGAUUAGAUACCCUGGUAGUCCACGCCGUAAACGAUGAGUGCUAAGUGUUAGGGGGUUUCCGCCCCUUAGUGCUGCAGCUAACGCAUUAAGCACUCCGCCUGGGGAGUACGUCGCAGACUGAAACUCAAAGAAUUGACGGGGCCCGCACAAGCGUGGAGCAUGUGGUUUAAUUCGAGCACGCGAGACUUACCAGUCUGACAUCUCUGACACCCUAGAGAUAGGGCUUUCCCUUCGGGACAGAAUGACAGGUGGUGCAUGGUGUCGUCAGCUCCGUGU